rnacentral:rRNA from 1 species
UGGGGAAUCUUGGACAAUGGGGGCAACCCUGAUCCAGCCAUGCCGCGUGAGUGAUGAAGGCCUUAGGGUCGUAAAGCUCUUUCGCCUGUGAAGAUAAUGACGGUAGCAGGUAAAGAAACCCCGGCUAACUCCGUGCCAGCAGCCGCGGUAAUACGGAGGGGGUUAGCGUUGUUCGGAAUUACUGGGCGUAAAGCGCACGUAGGCGGACCAGAAAGUUGGGGGUGAAAUCCCGGGGGCUCAACCCCGGAACUGCCUCCAAAACUAUUGGUCUAGAGUUCGAGAGAGGUGAGUGGAAUUCCAAGUGUAGAGGUGAAAUUCGUAGAUAUUUGGAGGAACACCAGUGGCGAAGGCGGCUCACUGGCUCGAUACUGACGCUGAGGUGCGAAAGUGUGGGGAGCAAACAGGAUUAGAUACCCUGGUAGUCCACGCCGUAAAACGAUGAGUGCUAGUCGUCGGCAGGCAUGCCUGUCGGUGACGCAGCUAACGCAUUAAGGCACUCCGCCUGGGGAGUACGGCCGCAGGUUAAAACGUCAAAUGAAUUG